UCCCUAUAUAUUACAGUGGGAAGGAACUAUGUCCCUCAAUCAUUAUACUGUCUCUGUCACCCCUUGGUGGGGCAGUUUUGUUUUUGAGACAAAGUCUUGUUUGUAGUCCAGGCUGGCCUUGAACUCACUAUGUAAUCCAUGCUGGCCUCAAACUCAUGAGGACUCUUCUGCCUUAGCCUCCUGAGUGCUGUUAUUACAGGUAUGUGUCACCAUGCCCAGCAAGCAAAAUUUCUAAAUUUUGGUAGCUAAACCUUUACGUUAUCUACCCUGUGUGUAGCAAACUGUGAGGAUGUACCUCUCCCUUAAGGAUUCUGGCAAGAAGGCAAGCCCACUGGAAUUUGGCCCCCUGACAUGGGGUAGAUAUCCUUGUUCUUUCAUGUCAGACCCUUUAUGUGAAGUCACCGUUAUCAGCUGCUGCUUCUUCAGGGAAGGAUUUCCCUUUGAUAAGCCUGGGCCAGGGGCAUGUUGGUGAGAUUCCCUAUAUGAGACCAAAGUGGGAUUAGGCCAUAGUGUAUGUAAGGCCAGGUCUGUGCCAUUUCGAUUCUUGAAUGGUUUCUGUCAUGGUAAAAAAGUAACACUUUUUUUUUCUUUCUAGAAUACAAAAACACUAAUGCAUUUGAGAAAGUGGUGAAGUUUGAGGGGAGAAAAAGCAACUGCUUUCGUGAUUUGCAACUUAACUGGAUGCAAAGAUGUCAGUGGACAUGAAUAGCCAGGGGUCUGACAGCAAUGAAGAGGACUAUGACCCAAAUUGUGAGGAGGAAGAGGAAGAGGAUGAGGACCCUGGGGACAUAGAGGACUAUUAUGUGGGAGUAGCUAGUGAUGUGGAGCAGCAAGGGGCUGAUGCCUUUGAUCCGGAGGAGUACCAGUUCACUUGCUUGACCUAUAAGGAGUCUGAGGAUGCCCUCAAUGAACACAUGACUAGCUUGGCCUCUGUUCUAAAGGUUCCUCAGAGGAGCUGCAUCUGACCACUACUGCUACCCUGAGGCCUUGGAAGGCUUUGGGGCCUGAGUGUGCUCUGGAGGUUGUGGGUAUGUGGGUAUGUGGUGAUUGGACACUAGACCACAAGAAGACAGGCAGAGGGUGGUAACAUAUGGGACAAGUGCUGCAGUGCUGACACAGACAUCCCCAGUGCUUGGGUAUGUCAGAGAAAGACACAGGAAAAAAAACCUUGCCUCAAAGAGCUUCUAUUCUGUUCCUUUCUAUUUAUAUGGAGUUUUACAUAAACAUUAUAAAAAAGCAUUAUAUGUUUUGAGCAUAGCAAAGAGGGUAGUUGAGGAUAGCAGCCCUGGCUGUUAGAACCUGUGGCUUUGUCUUUAAGAUGUAUCGGCCUCUUACAUUAGAUGUGCUUCCUUUGGAGAAAAAGGGAGAACCAGGAUAGCACUACCUAGCAGGUAGUUGGUAUUCCCUCUCUUUUGCCUAGCUGGAAGAGAUGAAACAUUUUUUAGUCAUUUUUGGAUAACAUGGGGUUGUGGCUAUAAGAAUGGAGAUUUGCCUUUUAGUCCUACUGGGUCCCAUUCAUUUGUAACCGGUUCCCACCUGCAUUUGUUUUCCUGCUGGACAGCAUCUUCAUUAACUGGAAUUGUGGUGAUCCUGUUUACCUGGCAGGAUUUCCCCCUGGAAAUCUAUUAAAAUUCUGGAAAGGGCUGUAGCCAGUCUUUUGUACCAAGUACUUCCCAGAGGGUUUUCAAUUAAAUGGGACCUAAAAGAUAACAUUAGCUUGGAUUUGCUUCACAAUAGUAUGAAGGGUUGGAAUGGAGACACAGUGGGUCUGAUCACAAGAUUGGAGCUGGGUAAUAGGUACAUGGGUCUUACUGUUUUUUUGGUUUUGGUUUUGGUUGAUUUUUGUUAUUGUUGUAGUUGUUUGUUUUUUGUCUUAUUGUUUUCCUCACUUUUGUUUGAGAUUUCUUUUUUUUUUUUAAUUACCUUCAUGGUCAAGGAAUGGUGACUUUCAUAUUUUUGAACGUAGUAGUUUUGAACUUUGUAGUUCAAGCUGGCCUUGAACUCACUGUGUAACCCAAGCUGGGCUCAAAUUCCUGGUGAUCCUCCUGCCUCAGCCUUUCAAGUGCUGGAAUUACAGGCAUGUGCCACCACCCUUAACUAUAUUUUUGCAUUAUUUUAUAAAUGAUAUUUUAUUGAGAGAUUUGUGGAGGUUUUUUUAUUUUGGGUUUUUUUUUAGUAUUGAUCUUAAUGAUUGGAAAUCAUAGCAGAUAGGGAAGAAAAGAAAUAAGAUUAAACUAGUAAGAAAUCUCCAACUGUGUUAAUUAUAUUAAUCAGAUUUGUGUAACAUGUAGAUGCCCCAACUACCAGUCAGACCUAGCUGAAUGGAUCUAUAAAGAAAAAGUAAAAGGGAUGUAGAGUUAUAAUGGGAUACCUGACAGCUGAUCUUUUAGAGGCUGAGAAUAUGUAGGUGUGAAGUACAGAAAAAGUGAAGUCCCUGCCAUUUAUAUUAAACUUUAGGGGUGAGAUUUAGUUAGUUAGAAGCCCUCUGGGAUACCAGUAUACCACACCCAUCUGAUAUUUCCCUCCUCUGUCUCCCAAGACUGGAAUUCAUCUGUCUUGUUCUCUUCAGUUUAAUUUUCCUGUACCAUAUCUCUGUCUACCCUAGACCCAGAAUCUGGCCUAUAGUUUAUUCCUUUUUAUCAUCUUUACUUUUUAGUGAGUGACCACUAGUGUUCGUUAACAAAUGUGAUUGGAUUAUGGAAGUGGCUCAGGCUGAAGCAUGCAGACACAUUCAUGUAGUCUUAAAAGAUUUCACGCAGUUGGCAAGUAAGAAUUCUAAAUAAAAAUUGAAACUACCACCUGUAUUUUUUCAGGCCGUUGAUGCUCACUGCCAUCAGCUGCAUCCUCCCUAUGGCACUGGCAAGUGUGGGAAGGGCUGUUGACAGUUGUGGUGGGCUGCUGGAUAUCUUUUCUUGGGGAGAAAUCUAUCUGCAAGCUUUGUUAACUUGUUCUGAGAGCUGGACAGCUUGAACCAGCUAUAGGAAACAAAAAGAUGGAGCAACUGAUCUUGUUUGUGCAUUUCCUUGGGGAAUUGUUGUGAGGAGCAGAAGCUAUUCUGUAUGGGCCUGGAUCCCUAUAUAGAAUUGGUGUGUUCUAUGCAUUAUUGUAAAUAAUAAACAUAUUGUCCAAGUGUUCUGAGAUGUUGACUAAUAACUGAUAAAUUUCCUGAAACUCUUAAAACAUUUUUCUCAAAGGUUGGUUCUGUGUUAGAAAGGGUCCUGAAUGGCAGUUGUCUUAUAGUUUCCUUCAGUGGCAAGAAUUGUCUUCCUCUGGUAUUUCAAAUUUUUUGCGGCAGGGGCUCAAAGGUUGUCCUACUAAGAUUUUGAUAGAGGUUUACUUGUAUUUUUUUAGAGGGAGAGAUUCGGUGGAAAUCAGAAAAAUUUA
rnacentral:lncRNA from 1 species